rnacentral:rRNA from 1 species
UCAUCUCCGGGGGUAGAGCACUGUUUCGGCUAGGGGGCCAUCCCGGCUUACCAACCCGAUGCAAACUGCGAAUACCGGAGAAUGUUAUCACGGGAGACACACGGCGGGUGCUAACGUCCGUCGUGAAGAGGGAAACAACCCAGACCGCCAGCUAAGGUCCCAAAGUCAUGGUUAAGUGGGAAACGAUGUGGGAAGGCCCAGACAGCCAGGAUGUUGGCUUAGAAGCAGCCAUCAUUUAAAGAAAGCGUAAUAGCUCACUGGUCGAGUCGGCCUGCGCGGAAGAUGUAACGGGGCUAAACCAUGCACCGAAGCUGCGGCAGCGACGCUGAUGCGUUGUUGGGUAGGGGAGCGUUCUGUAAGCCUGUGAAGGUGGCCUGUGAGGGUUGCUGGAGGUAUCAGAAGUGCGAAUGCUGACAUAAGUAACGAUAAAGCGGGUGAAAAGCCCGCUCGCCGGAAGACCAAGGGUUCCUGUCCAACGUUAAUCGGGGCAGGGUGAGUCGACCCCUAAGGCGAGGCCGAAAGGCGUAGUCGAUGGGAAACGGGUUAAUAUUCCCGUACUUGGUGUUACUGCGAAGGGGGGACGGAGAAGGCUAUGUUGGCCGGGCGACGGUUGUCCCGGUUUAAGCGUGUAGGUGUGUGUUCCAGGUA